rnacentral:tRNA from 1 species
GGGUCAGUGGCGGAAUCGGUAUACGCGCGACACUUAAAAUGUCGUCCCGUCAACGGGGUGAGAGUUCGAGUCUCUCCUGACCCACUA